rnacentral:misc_RNA from 1 species
UACCAGUUUUAUCCACACUAUUGUUGCAUUUUGUAAUUUUUAAAUGUAUAAUUUAUCUUGAAACAAUUUCCAGGAUACAAUCCUGGUUUUUUUCACAAAAGAAGGUGGGACUGAAGGAAUGUCGAGUGGGACUCGACAAAGAAGCUCCUGAGAUAAAAACUAAAAAUUAAGACAAUUUAAAUAAAAAUAGGAAGAAAGAAAUUCACCUAAGAUGCAAUCUUGGUGUUUUUCACAAAAGAAGGUGGGACUGAAGGAAUGUCGAGUGGGACUCGACAAAGCAGCUCCUGAGAUAAAAACUGAUGUGGAAUCACGCUCGACAUAGAAGUGCAAAUGGCAUACGUGAAAUGACAAAGGUAGAUCGUAUGAUAAGAGAAAAUGUUAUUUUUCCUAAACGUAUGAAGCAGAUGUGGCCAUUUGAACAGCGUACAGAUAUAGCGAAGAACUAUUUGCCGGAUAGAAAAUUUCCAAUUGC